rnacentral:tRNA from 1 species
GCCUGGGUGGCUCAGUCAGUUAAGCAUCUGACUUCAGCUCAGGUCACGAUCUCGCAGUCCGUGAGUUCGAGCCUCGCGUCGGGCU